rnacentral:rRNA from 1 species
AGUGAAUAGAUACCCAGGUAGUCCCAGCUGUAAACGAUGCGCGUUAGGUGUAUCGGUGACCACGAGUCACCGAGGUGCCGAAGGGAAACCGUGAAACGUGCCGCCUGGGAAGUACGGUCGCAAGGCUGAAACUUAAAGGAAUUGGCGGGGGAGCACCACAACAGGUGGAGCCUGCGGUUUAAUCGGACUCAACGCCGGGAAGCUCACCGGAUAAGACAGCUGAAUGAUAGCCGGGUUGAAGACUCUGCUUGACUAGCUGAGAGGAGGUGCAUGGCCGUCGUCAGUUCGUACUGUGAAGCAUCCUGUUAAGUCAGGCAACGAGCGAGACCCACGCCAACAGUUGCCAGCAUGUCCUCCGGGAUGGUGGGGACACUGUUGGGACCGCCUCUGCUAAAGAGGAGGAAGGAAUGGGCAACGGUAGGUCAGCACGCCCCGAAUUAUCCGGGCUACACGCGGGCUACAAUGGUCAGGACAAUGGGUAUCAACACCGAAAGGUGAAGGCAAUCUCCUAAACCUGUCCUUAGUUCGGAUUGUGGG